AUACGUAGGGAGCGAGCGUUGUCCGGAAUUACUGGGCAUAAAGGGCGCGUAGGCGGCGCUUCAAGUCGUCUGUCAAAUGGGAGGGCUUAACCCUUUUUCGCAGACGAAACUGGAGAGCUUGAGAAGCAGAGAGGCAAACAGAAUUCCUGGUGUAGCGGUGAAAUGCGUAGAUAUCAGGAAGAAUACCAGUGGCGAAGGCGGUUUGCUGGCUGCAUACUGACGCUGAAGCGCGAAAGCCAGGGGAGCGAACGGGAUUAGAUACCCCGGUAGUCCUGGCAGUAAACGAUGUAUGCUGGGUGUGAGACUAGCGAUAGUUUCGUGCCGAAGUUAACGCGAUAAGCAUACCGCCUGGGGAGUACGGUCGCAAGAUUGAAACUCAAAUGAAUUGACGGGG
rnacentral:rRNA from 1 species